GCUUACGACACCGGCCUGAGUACGCCUGAUCUCGUCCGAUCUCGGAAGCUAAGCAGGGUCGGGCCUGGUUAGUACUUGGAUGGGAGACCGCCUGGGAAUACCAGGUGCUGUAAGCU
ensembl:rRNA 5S_rRNA 5S ribosomal RNA